AAACAGGUAGUGAACUAACUGAAGGUUUACUCACUGAAGGCUUGUUCAUAGCCAAAAAUAAAAACAAAAAAUAAGUAACUUCUCUGCAUCUGUGGUUACUAAAGUCCUCUGGGAGCUUAAAAAGGUGAUGGUAUCAGAAGGUGAAGACUUAGGGAGGUGAUUAGGUCAUGGGCGCAGAUCCACAUGAAUGGGAUUAGUGCCUUUAUAAGUCACUCAAGAGAAAGCCCUCGCCUCUUCUGCCAUGUGAGGACACAGUGAGAACGUACCAAUUAUGAACCAGAAAACAGACCCUCAGCAGACAUGGAAUUUGCUGGUGCCUUCAUCUUGGACUUCCCAGAUUUCAGAAUGGUGAGAAAUAAAUUUUUGUUUUUUAUAAG
rnacentral:lncRNA from 1 species